AUCGCUGUUGCGGGGCUGAUAGUUGAUAAAUGCAAAGCCGCGGGCCUGAUCAAUCACAUGAAAUAGCGGAUUCCAGGUAAACAUCACCAAAACUGAUCCCGGCAAGCUAUUGGCGACAAACAUCUUACCCGAUGCAACCAUAUUCAGGCGUUG
rfam:Rhodobacteraceae bacterium SB2 pfor_12, whole genome shotgun sequence.